GGGCACAUGGUGUAGUUGGUUAUCACGCUCGCUUAGCAACCCAGUUAAAAACGGUUUAACCGUAAGGGCCUGUAAUGCGAGAGGUGUUGGGUUCAAUUCCCAAUGUGUCCA